AAAGACCUUAUGCUUUUGGAGCGGCCGAUGUCUGAUUAGCUAGUUGGUAAGGUAAUGGCUUACCAAGGCAACGAUCAGUAGUUGGUCUGAGAGGACGGCCAGCCACACUGGGACUGAGACACGGCCCAGACUCCUACGGGAGGCAGCAGUGGGGAAUUUUGGACAAUGGGCGCAAGCCUGAUCCAGCAAUGCCGCGUGAGUGAAGAAGGCCUUCGGGUUGUAAAGCUCUUUCAGUCGAGAAGAAAAGGUUAUGACUAAUAAUCAUAACUCAUGACGGUAUCGACAGAAGAAGCACCGGCUAACUACGUGCCAGCAGCCGCGGUAAUACGUAGGGUGCGAGCGUUAAUCGGAAUUACUGGGCGUAAAGGGUGCGCAGGCGGUUCUGUAAGUCAGAUGUGAAAUCCCCGGGCUUAACCUGGG
rnacentral:rRNA from 1 species